rnacentral:rRNA from 1 species
UACGGAGGGUGCGAGCGUUGUCCGGAAUCACUGGGCGUAAAGGGCGCGUAGGCGGCCUGGCAAGUCGAUGGUGAAAGCCCGAGGCUCAACUUCGGGUCGGCCACUGAUACUGCUGGGCUUGAGUCGACUAGAGGCAGAUGGAAUUCCGGGUGUAGCGGUGGAAUGCGUAGAUAUCCGGAGGAACACCGGUGGCGAAGGCGGGUCUCUGGACAGUUCCUGACACUGAGGCACGAAGGCCAGGGGAGCAAACGGG